AGCUUGCGCCACAUUAGUUUGUUGGUGGGGUAAUGGCCUACCAAGACGAUGAUGUGUAGCUGGACUGAGAGGUCGAACAGCCACAUUGGGACUGAGACACGGCCCAAACUCCUACGGGAGGCAGCAGUAGGGAAUUUUCGGCAAUGGAGGAAACUCUGACCGAGCAACGCCGCGUGAACGAUGAAGUAUUUCGGUAUGUAAAGUUCUUUUAUUGAAGAAGAAAAAAUAGUGGAAAAACUAUCUUGACGUUAUUCAAUGAAUAAGCCCCGGCUAACUAUGUGCCAGCAGCCGCGGUAAGACAUAGGGGGCGAGCGUUAUCCGGAAUUAUUGGGCGUAAAGGGUGCGUAGGCGGUUAGGAAAGUCUAUAAUUUAAUUUCAGUGCUUAACGCUGUCUUGUUAUAGAAACUACCUUGACUAGAGUUAGAUAGAGGCAAGCGGAAUUCCAUGUGUAGCGGUAAAAUGUGUAAAUAUAUGGAGGAACACCAGAAGCGUAGGCGGCUUGCUGGGUCUUGACUGACGCUGAGGCACGAAAGCGUGGGUAGCAAACAGGAUUAGAUACCCUGGUAGUCCACGCCGUAAACGAUGAGUACUAAGUGUCGGGAUAAAACUCGGUACUGAAGUUAACACAUUAAGUACUCCGCCUGAGUAGUACGUACGCAAGUAUGAAACUUAAAGGAAUUGACGGGACUCCGCACAAGCGGUGGAUCAUGUUGUUUAAUUCGAAGAUACACGAAAAAUCUUACCAGGUCUUGACAUGCUCUGCAAAGCUAUAGAAAUAUAGUGGAGGUUAUCAGGGACACAGGUGGUGCAUGGUUGUCGUCAGUUCGUGUCGUGAGAUGUUAGGUUAAGUCCUAAAACGAGCGCAACCCUUGUCGUUAGUUACCAGCACGUAAUGGUGGGCACUUUAACGAGACUGCCAAUUAAACAUUGGAGGAAGGUGAGGAUUACGUCAAAUCAUCAUGCCCCUUAUGAUCUGGGCUACAAACGUGAUACAAUGGCUGUUACAAAGAGUAGCUGAAGCGCGAGUUUUUAGCCAAUCUCAAAAAAGCAGUCUCAGUUCGGAUUGAAGUCUGUAACUCGACUUCAUGAAGU
rnacentral:rRNA from 1 species